rnacentral:tRNA from 1 species
GUUGUGGCUCAGUGGUAGAGCGCUUGCCUAGCAUGUGUGAGGCACUGGGUUUGAUCCUCAGUAUAAUA